rnacentral:misc_RNA from 1 species
CCCUCCCCCACAACUCUCCUUCACCAAGUAAGGUUCAGAUAUGGUUCCCAAAUUCUGCACCGCUAAGUCAUGGUCAAAAGAAAUGGCAAAGUCCCUUGUAAGACUUACGCAAUCACCCGAUAAGGCCAGCGGAAACAACACUCAAAACUAUAUGUGCCAAAUGACCAAGAUACUUGGCCGAUUCAUGCGGAUGCCGUCGUCACAGGCUACACGCCUAAGUCAUGGUCAAGACAAAUGGUAAAGUCCCUUAUAUGACAUAUGCAAUCACUCCAUAAGACCAGUGGCGAGCACACUCAAAACUAUAUGUGCCAAGUGACCAAGAUACUUGACCGAUUCAUGCGGAUGCCUUCGUCCCAGGCUACACGGCUAAGUCAUGGUCAAGACAAAUGGUAAAGUCCCUUAUAUGACAUACACAAUCACUCGAUAAGGCCAGUCGCGAGCACACUCAAAACUAUUUGUGCCAAGUGACCAAGAUACUUGGCCCAUUCAUACAUGGGAUGUCAUCACAACGAACGUGUUAUCGGAGACACGGCCAAGAGUCAUGGACGGAACUGGACGCGCACCAUGGACAACUAGGCAAAACCACGUACACGAACUCUUAAACGGACCCGUGAACGGGUUAUACGGGGACACGGGAAAAAAGUGGCCGACGCGCGUCGUGUACGGAAGUGGAUGCGCGCCAUGGAAAACUGGGCAAAACCACGUACGAGGCACACAGACGUACAAACCGUUACACGGACCUGUGAAUGGGCUGUACGUGGACACGGGAAAAUAGUGACCAACGCCCAUCGUGGACGGAACCGGACGCGCACCAUGGAAAACAGAGCAAAACAAGGUACGAGGCACAAACACGUACACGGACCCUUACACGGACCCGUGUACGGGCUCUACGGGGACAAGAGAAAAAAAGUGGCCAACGCCCAUCGUGCACGGAAGUGGACGCGCGCCAAGAAAAACUGGGGAAAACCAUGUACGACGCACACACACGUACACGGACCCGUGACUGGCUGUACGUGGACACGGGAAAAAACGGCCGACGCCCGUCGUGGACGGAACUGGACGCGCACCAUGGAAAACUGGGCAAAAACCACGUACGAGGCACACACACGUACACGGACCCGUGAACUCGGACCCGUGAAAACGGGCUGUACGUGGACACGGGAAAAAACGGCCGACGUCCGUCGUGGACGGAACGGGACGCACGCCAUGCAAAACUAGGCAAAAGCACGUACGAGGCACGCACACGUACACGGACCCUUACACGGACCCGUGAACGGGCAGCACGUGGACACGGGAAAAAAAACGGCCGACGGCCGUCGUGGACGGAACGGGGCGCGCGCCAUGGAAAACUGGGCAAAACCACGUACGAGGCACACACACGUACACGGACCCGUGAACGGGCUGUAUGUGGACACGGGAAAAAACGGCCGACGGCCGUCGUGGACGGAACGGGACGCGCGCCAUGGAAAACUGGGCAAAACCACGUACGAGGCACACACACGUACACGGACCCCUUACACGGACCCGUGAAACGGGCUGUACGUUGACACGGGAAAAAACGGCCGACGGCCGUCGUGGACGGAACGGGACGCGCGCAAUGGAAAACUGGGCAAAACCACGUACGAGGCACACACACGUACACGGACCCUUACACGGACCCGUGAACGGGCUGUACGUGGACACGAAAAAAAAAACGGCCUACGGCCGUCGUGGACGGAACGGGACGUGCGCCAUGGAAAACUGGGCAAAACCACGUACGAGGCACACACACGUACACGGACCCUUACACGGACCCCGUGAACGGGCUGUACGUGGACACGGGAAAAAACGGCCGACGCACGUCAUGGACGGAACGGGACGCGCGGCAUGGAAAACUGGGCAAAACCACGUACGAGGCACACACAUGUACACGGACCCUUACACGGACCCGUGAACGGGCUGUACGUGGACACGGGAAAAAAACGGCCGACGCCCGUCGUGGACAGACCGGGACGCGCGCCAUGGAAAACUGGGCAAAACCACGUACGAGACACACACACGUACACGGGCCCGUGAACGGGCUGUACGUGGACACGGGAAAAAACUGGCCGACGCCCGUCGUGGACGGAACCGGACGCGUGCCAUGGAAAACUGGGCAAAACCACGUACGAGGCACACGCACGUACACGGACACGUGAACGGGUACGAGAGCUCCGGGAGGAAAAAGGCCCAUACGCCAUGGAAACUGGAUGAAAACUAGCAAAUGAUGGUCAAGAAACGGUGCCAUGGCAGCGAAAACAUGUCUCAUGGCAGAAAAACGCUGCCACGGCAGCGUUUCAAAACAGUGUACCCCUCCUUCACAAACUGAAGGGCAGGGGUCCCAAGGGGGGCUAAAACCCUCGGGUAUAGUAGGGGGGAGGGGUCCUUCCUGGUGGGUGUACGGAACACGGGUGGUUUUUCUUAGGAAAAACACCCGUUUUCUCGUAUGCCCAUCCUUUCCCAACGUUGCCUCGGAUGUCCCGUCGUUAUGCCAUCACGAAGGUGCUGGCCCGGUCCCGUGUACGUCUCGUGAGAAAUCCUGACCCUACAGCCGAACGUGGCUUGGGAAACAGGAAAGUACCCCGUUUCGUACACGAUCUGACCGACGGUAAACAGUCGCAACGGUGUCCCUCGAAUGUCGCCUCCGGAAAACCGUUGCCCCUCGGGGGCAACGUCAUCGCUGUCCCGGUCCCCUGUACGUCUCAAGUGAAAUUCUGACCCAACAGCCGAAUGUGGCUCGGGAAACAGGAAAGUAGCCCGUUUCGUGCACGAUAAGACCGUCGGACAACGUUGCACCGACGUCCCGAUUAAGUUGCCUUCUUAAAAUCGUUUCAUCCGUAACUUUAUUGCUACGGGUGUGACACACGCGUGAUUUGGCCUUGCAGGACGCCUUCGUGCAAGCGAUCCUCCCGUGCUCUGCACAGGCGGAGGCUUGGUUGGUUUGACCGCUUGUUGGCUACUAAGCGCAUGAGUAGCUUUGGACCCGUGUCUGCCGGUAGAUCCCCCGUUGUACUGCGGCCGACUACCGGCGCCGUGUCCCGUCCCUCGUGUGGUUUCGAAUCGCUGGAUUAAGAGUGCUUGCGUGCCAGUACCCGACCUACGGGAAGUGGUGCUUCGGAUAUUUGUUGCCUCGCGGCGGACGCCCUUUGGGUGUGCUGCUGCGGCCAAAUAGCGCUUGCGGCGUUGCCUCGUGGCGCUGGCAUGUUACGUGCCUGCUGCUAUCAAGGCAACCUCGCUCUCGCUUUUGGUCUCGGAUGCUGCUGACGAUAAAGGGUCGUGGCCCUUUUGGUUGCCUCGACCCGACCCAACGCUCUCCGAAUUGAGAACAACCGGAACAGGAGUCGCCUCUACCUCUCCACAGUUACGUGGUAGGAUAAGCGACUCUCUGCGCCGAUCCUCAAGGAGGAUGAGCUAUGCCGCUCAAGAGCGACAACCGGCCCGGCUGCUGCCUCUGAGUUUCCACGAAAGUGGAAGCGCAGGACGAUGGUCGUGCUGGGCGUCACCA